rnacentral:lncRNA from 1 species
GCACCCACGCAUAUAGGGGCAUCUACAUUGCAAACAUCAUAGACAUGCAUGCGUGUGUUAUGCCCACAUCCAGCAUGGCCGUAGUUGUAGAGAUGUAAACGCGCAGGAAUUCUUUUGCACAAGCCCAUUCGUGCCCAGGCACGCAGGGACACCCGCACUUAGGCACAAGGACAAGGCUCCUCUACAGCCAUCAUAACGUGUGUGAUGUGAUCCUAGAUAGCCCAAAAUUAGUUUCAAAGAUGCAAUCUUGUAUCAAUGAGGGAUGCUUAGAAUGGGAAAGUAGUUUUAUCUCUGAAUACUUUCCUAAUUGGGAUUAU